UCCGCGCUGUCACGGCUCCACUCGGCUCAGCACAGCUCCUCGCGGCAUCACCCGCUCCACCCGGCUUCACCCGACCCCUCUCGGCUUCCCGCGUCCCCUCACAGCUUCGUCCGCCCCAGCCCGGGACACUCGUACUCAGGCAGGGCGGAGGCAGGAGCCCCGAGGGGAGCCAUGAGCCGUCUGACCGAUUUUUGCGUCUGCUUUGCCUCUGUGGAGCCGCACUGGCUUCACGGAGCUCAGUAAAAACAAAGAAGUCGAUACACAGUCAGACACGAGAGGAAUGGUUUAAUUCCUCUGUACAGGCAGAACAACUGGAUCGACUGCAGUAGGGAAACAGAGAUGAGGUACGUUGUCUUUCUCUGUGUAUGAAAGUCAGAGCAAACCCUGCGAAACAGAUGGGCUCAGGACAACCUAACCUUCUUCUUGGUGGUCACUGUCCAAGAUGUGCUAGUUCUGAAAAAUUUAAAAUUGCUCCUCUUUCUUCUCUGCAGUUGUGCAAUGUAUUAUCAACUCUAAGGUUUACUAUUACCAAAAAUGCACCUUGUUCAACUGGUAACAGAAUGUGCUGCCAUCUUGGAGUCCUGUUUCAGAGAAUCUAUCUGUUGACAUAAAGCAACAGCAGAAACUUGCUAACAAAUCCGCACCUUGUUUUAUUCAUCACAUUAGUCGAAUUAGCAUUUAAAUUACCUAAAUAUUAAGACCACUUCAGUCAAAACCCUGGACCUAGGCCAUGCUGGCAAUGGGCAAGUGAGGAUGUGGAAGUAAACUUAAAAGCUGUAUCUGUUUCUCAGAGAUCUGUGAAAACUUCAGCUAUGAUGUGAAUAUCUCCAUCAUUAGAGAAGCUCUGGCAUAGAUAGAUUUUUAAAAAGUUAGUGCAAUCUUCUCUUUGCUGCUUCUUCAUAGCAGAAAUCCAUCCCAAACCAGGAAUGCUGCCAGGGACUGCAGCUCCCCUCAGAAUUCGCUUUAUCCUCCAACAUGAGUGACCAAAGCCAAGAAGGAUCUUUCACAGGUGAUUUUGGCUCUUUUUUUGCUAAAAAACAGCUGGAUGGCACUCAAGUGCAAUCAAAUAGUCCUGUCCUGAAUAAUUACCUCGUUUCUCCUUCAUCUAUGGAUUUUCUGUAGAGGUGCAUCCAUUUCCAAACCAAGCUCUAUUCAAAAUGCAACUGAGAAAGUUACUCUCCCUAAACAAGUGAAUUCCAACAUGAGGGCAGAAAGCAAAGCCAACAAGAUCCCAAGGCACUGCAUCCUCCAGACACCCUAACUUUAUUGUUCUUAAGUGGAUGAGCCCUGCAGACAUGGAACAGGCUGGCAGUGGCUCGGCUCAACCAAGGCACACACAGCAGCCCAGGAUGUAACAACUCACUGCUGCUCACAUUGCUUCUCUGCCUACUCUUCACUGCCCUGUUUUAUGAAAUUUAGCUUUCAUCUCCUCUAGACUUGAGAGAAGGUGAGGCAUUAGGAAGCCAAGGAAAUUACUGUACUUGCCAAUAAACUGUUACAAGAGGAGAAGCAAAUAUUGAGAGUGAACUCCCAGUCCCUUCAGCAUUAGAAUGAAGACAGGUGCUUCUUCUU